rnacentral:tRNA from 1 species
GCGCUGGUGGUGUAAGGGGUAGCAUCGCUGCCGGGAAAACAGAAAGUGCGAGUUCGAGUCUCGCCUAGCGCA